UUUGGCCCCUGCGGCCACUUGCGGCCAAGUCGGGCCGAGCUUGGAUGAUCCCUGCCUCCGCGCGCCACCACCGUUCCCCGCCAGCCGCGCGUCCUCCCACGGCCUCCGGCGACCUCCCGCUCGCCGCCGCUCGCCAUCCCGGCCAUCCCCGUGGACCGCCGGCCGCCGCUCCUCCAUCCUGCGUCCGCCCUGACCCGUGCGGGCUCGGUUU
rnacentral:lncRNA from 1 species